rnacentral:rRNA from 1 species
AGAGUUUGAUCAUGGCUCAGGACGAACGCUGGCGGCGUGCUUAACACAUGCAAGUCGAACGGACGAGUGAGAUAAGUUUACUUAACUCACAAGUUAGUGGCGGACGGGUGAGUAACACGUGGAUAAUCUACCUGCAACACCGGUAUAACGCUGUGAAAACGGUGCUAAUACCGGAUACGUUCCCUUGUGCGCAUGUAUGAGGGAAGAAAGCUCAGGCGGUUGCAGAUGAGUCCGCGGCUGAUUAGCUAGUUGGUGAGGUAAAGGCUCACCAAGGCGAUGAUCAGUAGCCGGCCUGAGAGGGUGAACGGCCACACUGGGACUGAGACACGGCCCAGACUCCUACGGGAGGCAGCAGUGGGGAAUCUUCCGCAAUGGGCGCAAGCCUGACGGAGCAACGCCGCGUGGGUGAAGAAGGCCUUCGGGUUGUAAAGCCCUGUCUUAUGGGAAGAAGUCAGUGACGGUACCAUAGGAGGAAGCCACGGCUAACUACGUGCCAGCAGCCGCGGUAAUACGUAGGUGGCGAGCGUUGUCCGGAAUUACUGGGCGUAAAGGGCGCGCAGGCGGGUUUUUAAGUCAGAUGUGUAAUCUACAGGCUCAACCUGUAGUUUGGAUCUGAUACUGGAAAUCUUGAGUGCAGGAGAGGACAGUGGAAUUCCUAGUGUAGCGGUGAAAUGCGUAGAUAUUAGGAGGAACACCAGUGGCGAAGGCGGCUGUCUGGCCUGCAACUGACGCUGAGGCGCGAAAGCGUGGGUAGCGAACAGGAUUAGAUACCCUGGUAGUCCACGCCGUAAACGAUGGGUACUAGGUGUAGGAGGUAUCGACCCCUUCUGUGCCGGAGUUAACACAAUAAGUACCCCGCCUGGGGACUACGGCCGCAAGGCUAAAACUUAAAUGAAUUGACGG